rnacentral:rRNA from 1 species
AAAAAAAUAACACGUGAGUAACCUGCCCUUGACUUUGGGAUAACUUCAGGAAACUGGGGCUAAUACCGGAUAGGAGCUCCUGCUGCAUGGUGGGGGUUGGAAAGUUUCGGCGGUUGGGGAUGGACUCGCGGCUUAUCAGCUUGUUGGUGGGGUAGUGGCUUACCAAGGCUUUGACGGGUAGCCGGCCUGAGAGGGUGACCGGCCACAUUGGGACUGAGAUACGGCCCAGACUCCUACGGGAGGCAGCAGUGGGGAAUAUUGCACAAUGGGCGGAAGCCUGAUGCAGCAACGCCGCUUGUUGGAAAAGG